CCUACGGGAGGCAGCAGUGGGGAAUAUUGGACAAUGGGGGAAACGCUGAUCCAGCGACGCCGCGUGAGUGAAGAUGUAUUUCGGUACGUAAAGCUCUAUCAGCAGGAAAGAAAAUGACUGUACCUGACUAAGAAGCCCCUGCUAACUACGUGCCAGCCGCCGCGGUAAGACGUAGGGGGCAAGCUUUAUCCGGAUUUACGGGGUGUAAAGGGAGCGUAGACGGGAGCGCAAGUCUUGAGCGAAAUGCCGGGGCCAAACGCCGGAACUGCUCUGGAAACUGUGAAGCUGGAGUGCAUGAGAGGUAAGCGGAAUUCCUGGUGUAGCGGUGAAAUGCGUAGAUAUCAGGAGGAACACCGGCGGCGAAGGCGGCUUACUGGACUGUAACUGACGUUGAGGCUCGAAGGCGUGGGGAGCAAACAGGAUUAGAUACCCCAGUAGUC
rnacentral:rRNA from 1 species